UAUACUAUAGCUAUAAGAAUACUGCAUAAUUGAACAAUGCAUUGAACAAAUAAGUGAAGAGAUAAGAAUAAAAUAAGCAAAGGUUACCAGACACCCAUCUUAUCCGUCGGCUAUCUUCUAUAAACGAAAACGAGCUGCAUAUCAACUUCCAGCCAAACGAUAUUCCAACGUAUCAAGAAGCCAAUGUGACGAUUAAAAAUCUAUGCGAUACUCUCGAGGGCCUACUCCCCACCACAAGAGGACCAACGUACAUCAUCGCUCGUGAGACAGUUCUCUUCCAGCAGACUCACUGUUAGGUCAUAUUAAGUUCUACAUACUAUUUUUCUCUGCAUUGUUCAGUUGAAAACACUGAGUUAUUUGGUUUAUAUUUAGCAGUGUAAUAUCUGCAUUAUUAAGACGUAUCUAUAAGGCUUUGUUCCUAAUUAAAAUUAGUAAACCCGGUGAAUGCAGGGUGACUAAAAAAUAAGGAGACAUUUCAUAUUUCGCGCUAAUAGUCGAUAUUACAGAAUUCUCUACACACGUCUAGUGACCAGACGUAACA